rnacentral:lncRNA from 1 species
CGCAUGUAGCCAGGACGGGGCAUCCAGACCAGCUUCUCCAAGAGUGUUCCCUGCUGGAAGCUGUUGAUUCAGGGUUAGAAACACACCUGGGCAGUUAACCUGGGAUUGCUUCCCUUUACAGCACACUGAGACUGUCUGCCGCUGUUGCAGCUCCCCCCUUCUCCAAAGUAAGCCUGCAAGUAAAGUCGGGAAAAGCAACCACAUUCAUGUACCACUCCUUGAGUAAGAAGACCCCAGGGAUCGGCUCUGUUUGCUCCUUGCCACAAGGACUGCUUGGUUUCAGCAGUGGAGGGAGGUCCUGGCAUCUGAGCGUGUGGAUGCAGCGUGGCUGCAGAAGCUGACCCCGCAACGAGGGCCUGGGCCCCUGGCCUGGAGUCGGGCUGCCGGAUGUCACUGACUGGGAGAAAUACAAAUGCCAAGUGAAGGCGCCUGUGAUUUCCACACGCGUUUCAUUCAGUGUCCGAAACAAAAGGAAGAGGAGGGCCAGCGACGAUGGGGGAGACUCUCCUGAGCAUGAAAUAGAUGUCCCAGAGGGAGGAUCCUGGUUGUCGAGAGCAUUUUCUGUUGUCUUUCGUUGCCCCCGAACAAGUCAGUCCCUGGCUUUGCAUCUUCUCUAGUAUUUUUCAUUCAACGCUUUUUAUGGAAAGGGAGUUACAAAAAUGUUGGAAACCACGCAACUCUGCAACUCUGCGCACAGCUGCAGCCAGGUUGACUGAUUCCAGCUCCAGAUGAACACGCUGCGACAUUACAAAAGGCAUUAUGA